GGGGGGGGGAGAAAUGAUGAAAAUUUUCAAGUCUUGAUCUUCGUUUCUGAUGGACUCCUCAGGGUGAGGGAGUUUCUUCUUCUUCUUCUUCUUCUUCCGAAUACGGGAGUGUAAAGCUUCCCACUGCAUUGAAGACAAAUUAAUGGCCUUCUGCUGUUGUCUGCUCUAUGUUUGGGUUGUUUAACACAUUCCGAUUUCCCCAUUUCCAUUCUCAAUUUUAUUCUGAUAUUUGAAUAAAAAUGAAAAUUGGGAAUAUUUUAGUGUUUGGUGAUCAAUGAAAAAUCUUCUCAAAAAAUUAUUAAACAAAACUAUAACAGAUGAAACGGAAAAAUAUGAAGAUGAAAUUUUCAUAAUUCUAUACACACCUUAUAUGUAUUUCAAUGAAAGAAUGAAUAUUUCAAUAAAUAUUUCUACAUCAAACUGGUUUGGGUCCUGUUUAUGCAGAUUUAUAGGUCAAAGUAUGGUCUUCAUCGGGGAGCAUAGGCUUACACUGAACAGCAAGCCAUAAAGGGCCCAAACUGACUAGUGUAGCACCAUUCAAACAUGAAAUCUAUAUAAAAAAACGCAAAACUACAAUUACGAUUGGAUUAUUUUAAUGUAUAGAAAAUGAACACAAAUCUAAACUGUCAUGACAUUGUUAGUUGAAACGGAAAUAUAUUAUUCAAAUAAAACUACAUCUAAAGGUAAGCAUACAAAAAGUAAAAAUUAUAAAUAAAUAAAAAGAAACUAAAAUAUCACGAAAUAUAUACUGUAAAUUCAGAAAUUUGUGUGUGCAUUUAACAUGUAAAAUGUUGAUAUACAGAAUACAAUUGAAAUCGAUUUAAGGGGUCAGACUUUGGUUCAGGGAGAUAACUCUUUAAAUCAGUUAAGCGUUUGUAAAAGUCAAGUUCAUCAAUGUAUUUUAAGCAUUUACAUGAAACAGAUUGAAAAUAGUCUAUGUAACCUAGAAGCUUAGAAUAUAUUUUUGAAAAUGGUUGACACAAACGUACUGAUGAUUUUAAGAGUUAUUUCCCUUAACCUAGGUCUACCUCCUUAAAGAUUUACAACCUACUGUGUAAAUACUAUACAAAUGUUGCAAUUGGAAUUUAAUAUGGGAGUUCUAAUAAUCUGAUAUGCAUUCAAUCAUAUUUUUUGUAAAACAUAGAAAAAAAGUGUAAAAAUUUCAAAAUAAACAGCAUAUAUAAUAAAUAAUUGUAAACUGAGUAUCUAUCACCAGAGAUAAGAUACCCUUGAUGAACCUAAUCACUGAGCACAUUAUAUUUCCAAAAACGAUAAUUAUAAAAAAAUCAGAUCUAACCAAACUAAUAAAUUAUUAAACUGACAAAAGAUUAUACAUAUGUGCAAUGAUGGGAGAAAAAGAAUUGAGAUCUAAUCAAAACUAAGUUUAAAAUGGUUUUUGCGUUACUUUUUGAUUCUAGAAACUAAAAUCAAUUGUGGUGAUAUAUAUUUGUUAAUAAAUGAUCAAUUUCAUUAUGUUAUGAAGUUAAUGAUGCAAAUCAAAUGUAGGUUGGUGGUAAACUGUUCUGAAACCAUCACAUUACACAUUUGAUUCAGGUAUCAUUUUCAAAUUUUUAUUUCAUUGAAAACAUUUAUCUAUAAAAAAGUAUCAUAAAGGUUAAACAAUAUCAAAUAUUGCCUUAUCACUGAAAAUAUGAUGUCAUGACAUUUCAAUCCACUCUAAAAAUAAUCCUGAGAUAUGUUAGUUUACACUGAAAUAUCUGCACAUUAAAAGCACAACAAGCAAGCAUUCAAUAUUGUUAG
rnacentral:lncRNA from 1 species